CUACGGGGGGCACCAGUGGGGAAUAUUGCACAAUGGGGGAAGCCCUGAUGCAGCAACGCCGCGUGGAGGAUGACGCAUUUCGGUGUGUAAACUCCUUUUAUAUAGGAAGAUAAUGACGGUACUAUAUGAAUAAGCACCGGCUAACUCCGUGCCAGCAGCCGCGGUAAUACGGAGGGUGCAAGCGUUACUCGGAAUCACUGGGCGUAAAGCGCGCGCAGGCGGCCUUUUAAGUUGGAUGUGAAAGCCUAUGGCUUAACCAUAGAGCUGCAUCCAAAACUAUCAGGCUAGAGUCUGGGAGGGGAAGAUGGAAUUAGUUGUGUAGGGGUAAAAUCCGUAGAGAUGACUAGGAAUACCAAAAGCGAAGGCGAUCUUCUGGAACAGUACUGACGCUGAGGCGCGAAAGCGUGGGGAGCAAACAGGAUUAGAUACCCCCGUAGUC
rnacentral:rRNA from 1 species